rnacentral:rRNA from 1 species
CCCUUAGAUGUUCUGGGCUGCACGCGCGCUACACUGCCGGAUUCAGCGAGUCAUAUCCUUAACCGAAAGGUUUGGGUAAUCUUUUGAAAGUCCGACGUGAUGGGGAUUGAUCAUUGCAAUUAUUGAUCAUGAACGAGGAAUUCCUAGUAAGCGCGAGUCAUCAGCUCGCGUUGAUUACGUCCCUGCCCUUUGUACACACCGCCCGUCGCUACUACCGAUUGAAUGGUUUAGUGAGAUCUUCGGAUUGGCGCCUACGCGGCUUCUCUGAGGCCACGCUGGAUGCCGAAAAGUUGCUCAAACUGUAUCAUUUAGAGGAAGUAAAAGUCGUAACA